CAUUCAGUACAUUCUGAUGGUGGAAU
rnacentral:piRNA from 1 species